GUUCUCGUACGAUCACCGGAGUCAAGCAACGUUGGUCCAGGUCAGUACCUAGAUGGGUGACCACUUGGAAAUACCAUGUGCUGUAAG